rnacentral:sRNA from 1 species
GGGGGUAUGACCGGUGUAGCCUGUUACCGAUAUCAUGUGCUGUAUAGCGUAUCAACCUAUUUGAUAUGAUUUAUAUCGACGAUAUUAUACCCGAUCCAUGUGAUAUUAAUCUACCACGUGAUAUCAAUAUCUGUGUAGCCGUUUACAGACAUUGUACACAUUUAUAAGGUGAUGUUAUAUCUUUUUUUGGUUACAUUAUGGUGAUGUUCAUUUCUGCCUGUUUUUGUAGCCGACUUUCGUUCAACUCAUUUAACAUGGUGUAUACCUUUGUGUCUGUAAUCAUUGAUUUCUUUAAAUGUACUUGUUUCUGUGACGUUUUCUGUGAGUGCUUCAGCCAUCUACCGACCGGUAUAGUGCUCCUGUGAACUCUAUCAGCCGCUGCCUCAGACUUUAUACAAGUGCCUGAUUCUACAUACACAUUUUUGAUAUUAUUACUCUUUUGCUCCCAUUUAGUUAACUUCUUUGCUGUUUAUGUAUUUAUGUAACCCAAAGAUAUGAUGAAUUAAUAUAUUUGUGUUAUAUAUUUUUUCCAUUGGAAGUAAAACGUUUACCGUUGAGGACAAGAAUAAACUAAUGAAUCCU